rnacentral:rRNA from 1 species
CCGCGUGAGUGAUGAAGGCCCUAGGGUUGUAAAGCUCUUUUGUGCGGGAAGAUAAUGACGGUACCGCAAGAAUAAGCCCCGGCUAACUUCGGUGC